GUGGGCAGUGUAGAAGCCGUCUGUGCCGGAGCAAACGCGAUAAGUUCACCGCCUGGGGAGUACGGUCGCAAGGCUAAAACCCAAAGGAAUUGACGGGGGCCCGCACAAGCAGCGGAGCGUGUGGUUUAAUUCGAUGCAACGCGAAGAACCUUACCUGGGCUUGACAUGUACGUAGUAGUGAAGGGAAACCGGAACGAGCCUUCGGGCAGCGUAGACAGGUGCUGCAUGGCUGUCGUCAGCUCGUGUCGUGAGAUGUUGGGUUAAGUCCCGCAACGAGCGCAACCCGUGUUGCUAGUUACAAGUGUCUAGCGAGACUGCCGGUAACAAGCCGGAGGAAGGUGCGGAUGAUGUCAAGUCAGCAUGGCCUAUAUGUCCAGGGCUACACACACGCUACAAUGGCUGGUACAAAGAGAAGCGAAAGGGAGACCUGAAGCGAAUCUCAUCAAAGCCAGUCAUAGUUCGGAUUGCAGGCUGCAACUCGCCUGCAUGAAGUCGGAGUUGCUAGUAACCGCAGGUCAGCAAUACUGCGGUGAAUACGUUCCCGGGCCUUGUACACAC
rnacentral:rRNA from 1 species